rnacentral:rRNA from 1 species
AUGAAGUGGUGGUGGGCGGGGGCGUUCGGCGCCUUCAAGAAGCGCCGGGCCAGCAGCCGCGCCCGCGCCGCCGCGGAGGCCCCCCAGAACAACGUGGCCCUCGUCGUCGGCUCCACCGGCAUCGUCGGCGCCGCCCUCCUCGACAUCCUCCCGCUCCGCGACACGCCGGGGGGCCCGUGGAAGGUCUACGCGCUCUCCCGCCGCCCGCUCCCGCCCUGGUCCGCGCCCCUCCCGCCCGACGUCUUCCACCACCACCUCGACCUCGCCGACCCCGCCGCCGUCGCCGACGCCCUCGCGCCCCUCACUGACGUCACCCACGUCUUCUACGUCGCCUGGGACCCUCGCCCCACGCACGCGGAGGGCCGCGAGGCCAACGGCGCCAUGCUCCGCAACGUCCUCUCCGCCCUCGUCCCCAACUGCCCCGGCCUGCUCCACGUCUGCCUCCAGACCGGCCGCAAGCACUACGUCGACCCGUUCGAGCCCCUCACCGACGUGCCCCUCGCGCUCCGCCCCUACUCCGAGGACCUCCCGCGCCUCGACUACCCCGACCUCGAGGACGUCCUCCUCGACGGACUCGCCAGCAACAACAGCGUCACCUGGUCCGUGCACCGCCCCACCACCAUCUUCGGCUUCUCCCCACGGAGCGCAAGAAACGUCGUCGCCAGCCUCUGCGUCUACGCCGCCAUCUGCGGCAAGGAGGGCCUCGUGCUGCGCUGGCCAGGAUCCCGUGUCGCCUGGGAGGGCUUCAGCGACGCCUCCGACGCGGAGCUCGUCGCCGAGCACGCACUCUGGGCGGCCAUGGAGCCCAAUGGCAAGAACGAACCCUUCAACUGCAGCAACGGGGACCUCUUCAAGUGGCAGCAGCUAUGGCCGAUCCUCGCCAACCAGUUCGGCGUGGCGUGGACGGGGUACCAGGGGGAGGACCAGCGCUUCAUGCUGGAGGAGGCCAUGGCCGGGAAGGAGGGCGUGUGGUCGGAGAUCGUCAACGACAACGGGCUCGUGGAGACCCAGCUCAACGACAUCACCAACUGGUUCUGCGUCGACGCCAUGGUCAACGUGGAGCGGGAGAACCUGGACACCAUGAACAAGAGCAAGGAGUAUGGAUUCUUCGGGUUCCGGAACACGGUCAGGUCCUUCAAUACCUGGAUCAACAAGAUGAAGGUUGACAAGAUUGUCCCCUGA